CCACACCUGUUUGUUUUCCAUUUUCCUUUUGUUUCAGUCUGGACCUGCAGCAGUGUUUCAAGUCUCUGCCCUUUCUUGCAGGUAAGUGCUAUUGUGGUUUAGUAUGGUUCUUUUAGCGAACAUUAGGCAGUGUAGGACCUGCCGAAUAUGGGGUACAUUGGCGUUGUGGCAGGCUUAUGCAAUGUAUGAUCAUAUAAUGUAAC